rnacentral:lncRNA from 1 species
CGUGGCGCCAGUGAGCGCACGCGCCGGUGGGAGUAAUGGUGCCGGGCCAGGCGGAGGAGUGGCGCCAGUGGGUGGGGCGCCGGGUGCCAGGAGAAGAAAGGAGAGAGAAGAAGAAAGGAAGAAGAAGGAAGAAGAAGGAAGAAAGGAGGAAGAGAAAAGAAAGAAAGGAAAGAAGGGGAAAGAAAGAAAAAGAGAGGGACCGGCGGCGUUCGCGGCGCGCGGUCGGGGCACGCGCGCGACGUCUGACAAUGGCACGCGACGAGAUUCGCGGGCACGGAUAAAAAGACAGGUGGGGGUCGGUAUGGGUACCGGGAUGGCGAAAUCGCCGGGGAGGUUUCCGAUUCCCGGGAGCUCAGCGGUAAAAAGAUUUUUAAAGACGGUUUUUAACGGGUGAUUUUAGUUAGUGAUUUUUGCGGGCGUUACAAACAGGCCCCUCCCUUUGCCUCUCAUGCCGGCUCACCCUCCCUCCCCCGGCUUUCUUCCUCCCUUCCUCUCCCAUUAGCCCCCUCCCUAUCCCACUGGCCCUCCCACUCUCCGCCAUCCUGUGAGAUACCACCACCGCCCCUCCC